rnacentral:rRNA from 2 species
GCGGGGGGGGGGGCAAACAAAUACAUGCCAGUCGAGCGAACUGAUUAGAAGCUUGCUUCUAUGACGUUAGCGGCGGACGGGUGAGUAACACGUGGGCAACCUGCCUGUAAGACUGGGAUAACUUCGGGAAACCGAAGCUAAUACCGGAUAGGAUCUUCUCCUUCAUGGGAGAUGAUUGAAAGAUGGUUUCGGCUAUCACUUACAGAUGGGCCCGCGGUGCAUUAGCUAGUUGGUGAGGUAACGGCUCACCAAGGCAACGAUGCAUAGCCGACCUGAGAGGGUGAUCGGCCACACUGGGACUGAGACACGGCCCAGACUCCUACGGGAGGCAGCAGUAGGGAAUCUUCCGCAAUGGACGAAAGUCUGACGGAGCAACGCCGCGUGAGUGAUGAAGGCUUUCGGGUCGUAAAACUCUGUUGUUAGGGAAGAACAAGUACGAGAGUAACUGCUCGUACCUUGACGGUACCUAACCAGAAAGCCACGGCUAACUACGUGCCAGCAGCCGCGGUAAUACGUAGGUGGCAAGCGUUAUCCGGAAUUAUUGGGCGUAAAGCGCGCGCAGGCGGUUUCUUAAGUCUGAUGUGAAAGCCCACGGCUCAACCGUGGAGGGUCAUUGGAAACUGGGGAACUUGAGUGCAGAAGAGAAAAGCGGAAUUCCACGUGUAGCGGUGAAAUGCGUAGAGAUGUGGAGGAACACCAGUGGCGAAGGCGGCUUUUUGGUCUGUAACUGACGCUGAGGGCGCGAAAGCGUGGGGGAGCAAAACAGGGAUUAGAUACCCUUGUUAGUCCAAA